AGAGAUGUGUGAUGACGCAUAUCAAUAAGCGGAGGAAAAGAAACUAACUAGGAUUCCCUCAGUAACGGCGAGUGAAGCGGGAAGAGCUCAAAUUUGAAAUCUUCAAGGUUCUACCUUGACGAAUUGUAGUUUAUAGAAGUGUUUUCUGUUAGUGGAGUGGCAAAAGUUCUUUGGAAUAGGACAUCAUAGAGGGUGAGAAUCCCGUAUUUGGUCAUUCUUUCUAGCUUUGUGAUACACUUUCAACGAGUCGGAUUGUUUGGGAAUGCAGUCCAAAAUGGGUGGUAAAUUUCAUCUAAAGCUAAAUAUUGGCGAGAGACCGAUAGCGAACAAGUACCGUGAGGGAAAGAUGAAAAGAACUUUGAAAAGAGAGUUAAACAGUACGUGAAAUUGUCAAAAGGGAAGCGUUUGACACCAGUGUUGUUUUUCCGAAAAUCAAUUACGAAUGUUUUAGUUUUUGAGAAGUUAUGACUUCAUCGGCUUGCUUCUCUCUUUAUGAAACUUUCUUAAUGCACUUUUCGGUUAACAAGUCAACAUCAAUUUCUUUUGUUGUAAAAGGGUACGAGGAAGGUGGCUUUCUUUUCGGAGAAAGUGUUUAUAGCCUUUUAGCACUGCAAUCGGAGAGAUUGAGGUCUGCAGCGUAGAUCCUUCGGGGUUAGAUACGUUUGUGCUAAGUUAUAGCUUUUCAUAGACAACUUGUUGACUAUGUUUAGUCUUGCGACUUACUCGCUUACGCUAUUUUACCUACGCUUAGGAUGUUGAAGAUGUAGCACAUCA
rnacentral:rRNA from 1 species